GACGUAGGUGGCGAACGUUAUCCGGAAUUAUUGGGCGUAAAGGGUGCGUAGAUGGCCUGACAAGUUAGCAGUGGAAAAUCGAGGCUCAACCUCGUGGAAACUGAUAAUACUGUCUGGCUCGAGUACAGGAGAGGUUAACGGAACUCCAUGUGGAGCGGUAAAAUGUGUAGAUAUAUGGAAGAACACCAAUAACGGCGAAGGCAGUUAACUAUUCUGUUACUGACAUUGACGCUGAGGCGCGAAAGCGUGGGGAGCAAACAGG
rnacentral:rRNA from 1 species